GCUGGCGGCAGGCCUAACACAUGCAAGUCGAGCGGAUGACAGGAGCUUGCUCCUGGAUUCAGCGGCGGACGGGUGAGUAAUGCCUAGGAAUCUGCCUGGUAGUGGGGGACAACGUUUCGAAAGGAACGCUAAUACCGCAUACGUCCUACGGGAGAAAGCAGGGGACCUUCGGGCCUUGCGCUAUCAGAUGAGCCUAGGUCGGAUUAGCUUGUUGGUGAGGUAAUGGCUCACCAAGGCGACGAUCCGUAACUGGUCUGAGAGGAUGAUCAGUCACACUGGAACUGAGACACGGUCCAGACUCCUACGGGAGGCAGCAGUGGGGAAUAUUGGACAAUGGGCGAAAGCCUGAUCCAGCCAUGCCGCGUGUGUGAAGAAGGUCUUCGGAUUGUAAAGCACUUUAAGUUGGGAGGAAGGGUUGUAGAUUAAUACUCUGCAAUUUUGACGUUACCGACAGAAUAAGCACCGGCUAACUCUGUGCCAGCAGCCGCGGUAAUACAGAGGGUGCAAGCGUUAAUCGGAAUUACUGGGCGUAAAGCGCGCGUAGGUGGUUUGUUAAGUUGGAUGUGAAAGCCCCGGGCUCAACCUGGGAACUGCAUCCAAAACUGGCAAGCUAGAGUACAGUAGAGGGUGGUGGAAUUUCCUGUGUAGCGGUGAAAUGCGUAGAUAUAGGAAGGAACACCAGUGGCGAAGGCGACCACCUGGACUGAUACUGACACUGAGGUGCGAAAGCGUGGGGAGCAAACAGGAUUAGAUACCCUGGUAGUCCACGCCGUAAACGAUGUCAAGUAGCCGUUGGAAUCCUUGAGAUUUUAGUGGCGCAGCUAACGCAUUAAUGUGACCGGCUG
rnacentral:rRNA from 1 species